GUGCUCGCUUCAGCAGCACCUAUACUAAAAUUAGAACAAUACAGAGAAGAUUACAUGGCCCCUGCACAAGGAUGACAUGCAAAUUCGUGAAGCAUUCCAUAUUUAA